GUGGGUCGGUCAGUGGUUUUGGUGGUUACCUGUGGGUCGGUCAGUGGUUACCUAUGGGUCAGUCAGUGGUUACUUGUGGGACGGACAGAGGUUACCUGUAGGUCAGUCAGUGGUUACCUGUGUGUCAGUCAGUGGCUAACUGUAGGUUGGUCAGUAGUUAUCUGUAGGUCAGUCAGUGGUUAACUGUAAGUCGAUCAGUGGUUACCUGUAGGUCAGUCAGUGGUUUUGGUGGUUACCUGUGGGUCAGUCAGUGGUUACCUGUAGGUCAGUCAGUGGUUUUGGUGGUUACCUGUGGGUCAGUCAGUGGUUUUGGUGGUUACCUGUGGGUCAGUCAGUGUUUACGUUGGUUACCUGUGGGUCGGUCAGUGGUUUUGGUGGUUACCUGUGGGUCGGUCAGUGGUUUUG